rnacentral:rRNA from 1 species
AUUGAACGCUAGCGGAAUGCUUUACACAUGCAAGUCGGACGGCAGCAACGAGGAGCUUGCUCCUUGGGUGGCGAGUGGCGAACGGGUGAGUAAUGUAUCGGAACGUAUCCAAUAGUGGGGGAUAACUACGCGAAAGCGUGGCUAAUACCGCAUACGUCCUACGGGAGAAAGCAGGGGACCUUCGGGCCUUGCGCUAAUGGAGUGGCCGAUAACGGAUUAGCUAGUUGGUGGGGUAAAGGCCUACCAAGGCGACGAUCCGUAGCUGGUUUGAGAGGACGACCAGCCACACUGGGACUGAGACACGGCCCAGACUCCUACGGGAGGCAGCAGUGGGGAAUUUUGGACAAUGGGGGCAACCCUGACCCAGCCAUUUCGCGUGUGUGAAGAAGGCCUUCGGGUUGUAAAGCACUUUUGCCAGGGAAGAAAAGGGGCUAACUAAUAAUUGGUUCUGCUGACGGUACCUGGAGAAUAAGCACCGGCAAACUACGUGCCAGCAGCCGCGGUAAUACGUAGGGUGCGAGCGUUAAUCGGAAUUACUGGGCGUAAAGGGUACGCAGGCGGCAUGGCAAGAAGGAUGUGAAAUCCCAGGGCUCAACCUUGGAACUGCAUUCUUAACUGCCAAGCUAGAGUAGGUCAGAGGGGGGUAGAAUUCCACGUGUAGCAGUGAAAUGCGUAGAGAUGUGGAGGAAUACCAAUGGCGAAGGCAGCCCCCUGGGAUCAUACUGACGCUCAUGUACGAAAGCGUGGGGAGCAAACAGG